rnacentral:rRNA from 1 species
GACAGAGGUGCCGAGCGUUAGGCGGAAUCACUGGGCUUAAAGCGUGUGUAGGCGGGCGGGCAAGUACCUUGUGAAAUCCCACGGCUCAACCGUGGAACGGCUGGGUAUACUGCCUGUCUUGAGCCAACUAGGGGCGAGCGGAACAGACGGUGGGGCGGUGAAAUGCGUAGAUAUCGUCUGGAACGCCAAAGGUGAAAACAGCUCGCUGGGGUUGUGCUGACGCUGAGACACGAAAGCCAGGGGAGCGAACGGG